rnacentral:tRNA from 1 species
AGCACGAUGGCCGAGUGGUUUAAGGCGUUGGACUUAAGUUCCAAUGGAUGCAAAUCCGCGUGGGUUCGAACCCCACUCGUGCUA